UAAUAAUAAUAAUAUUCCUAUGGGAUUUUAUGAUUCAGUGCGACCAUGUGAUAGAGAAUAUGAAACCAGAUAUAGUGUUAACUGAGAAACGAAACAAACUAUGCUGAAUCAUAGAUAUAGCAUGCCCAGCUGACAACAAAGUAUUCUAUAAGGAAGAAAGAAAAGUCGAGAGAUAUGACAUGUUAACUUUGGAAGUUAAGCAGUGGUGGUC